UGCAGCAGCACAAGACGGACGUGGGGAGACUGGGGAAGACUUUUUCCAACGAAUAAUGUUAGAAACAGAAACACAAAUUACAUGGCCAUCCAAAUUAAAGAUAGGUGCAAAAUCAAAGAAAGGGUGUUAAACCAGAUAGGCAUGUCGUUGCCUCUUUUCAACCUCCUUUUAUCUAAAAUUUUAGGCCUAUAUGUAUAUUAUAUUUGUCUUCAUUGUAAAUGUAAAAAAAAAAAAAUAUUUUGUUUUGGG